ACACCCAGCCAAGAGGAGGAAAAGAUCCUUGAGUUGAUAAACCAGCAAGAAAUGCCACCAGAACCUGAGACCAGAGGAGCUUUUCUUUCUUUAACUGCAAGUUACACCACGUUCAGUCGUCAAUUUUUGUAAGAAAUCAGACCUUCCCAAAGCCGUGAGACUCCCCUGUCGGAAGAUGAAUGGAAGGUGUUAGU